rnacentral:rRNA from 1 species
GAGUUUGAUCAUGGCUCAGGAUGAACGCUAGCGGCAGGCUUAACACAUGCAAGUCGAGGGGUAUAGUUCUUCGGAAUUAGAGACCGGCGCACGGGAGCGUAACGCGUAUGCAAUCUACCUUUCACAGAGGGAUAGCCCAGAGAAAUUUGGAUUGAUACCUCAUAGUAUAACGAUUCCGCAUGGAGAUGUUAUUAAAGUCACAACGGUGAAAGAUGAGCAUGCGUCCCAUUAGCUAGUUGGUAAGGUAACGGCUUACCAAGGCUACGAUGGGUAGGGGUCCUGAGAGGGAGAUCCCCCACACUGGUACUGAGACACGGACCAGACUCCUACGGGAGGCAGCAGUGAGGAAUAUUGGACAAUGGGCGCAAGCCUGAUCCAGCCAUGCCGCGUGCAGGAUGACGGUCCUAUGGAUUGUAAACUGCUUUUGCACAGGAAGAAACAACGCUAUGUGUAGCGUCUUGACGGUACUGUGAGAAUAAGGAUCGGCUAACUCCGUGCCAGCAGCCGCGGUAAUACGGAGGAUCCAAGCGUUAUCCGGAAUCAUUGGGUUUAAAGGGUCCGUAGGCGGUUUAGUAAGUCAGUGGUGAAAGCCCAUCGCUCAACGGUGGAACGGCCAUUGAUACUGCUAGACUUGAUUAUUAGGAAGUACUAGAUAU